rnacentral:rRNA from 1 species
UCGAGGAUCUUCGGCAAUGGGCGCAAGCCUGACCGAGCGACGCCGCGUGCGCGAUGAAGGCCUUCGGGUUGUAAAGCGCUGUCGAGGGGGAGGAAAGCCCGCAAGGGUCUGACCUAUCCCUGGAGGAAGCACGGGCUAAGUUCGUGCCAGCAGCCGCGGUAAGACGCACCGUGCGAACGUUGUUCGGAUUCACUGGGCUUAAAGGGCGCGUAGGCGGCUCGCCAAGUCGGGGGUGAAAUCUUUCGGCUCAACCGGAAAACAGCUUCCGAUACUGGCGGGCUCGAGGGAGGUAGGGGCGGACGGAACUUCCGGUGGAGCGGUGAAAUGCGUAGAUAUCGGAAGGAACGCCGGUGGCGAAAGCGGUCCGCUGGAUCUCUUCUGACGCUGAUGCGCGAAAGCCAGGGGAGCAAACGG